rnacentral:lncRNA from 1 species
GUCUUACCUGGGAAGGGUCACUGUCUGGUCAAAACUUUACCUGGAAACUCAGAGCACAGAGUCUCUGCUAUGGCCAAAGAACUUCUGUAGGAAUUUCUACCUCGGGAUACAUAGGCAGCUCAGUGGCCCCUUGCCUUGCUGGCCACUAAUGAGCUUUCUGGGAUGGAAGUAGCCAUCAUUGUUGUCUAUUUCCAGUGCCUCCCGUCUGCUUUCAGGAUGUCAGAACUGAGUUCUAUCUCAAGGAGGCGAGCGCAGGCACCCUGGGAUGCCCUGUGAGUCUAUGUUAUCCUCGUUUCUAGUGAAGUGUUAACACCAGGUUGUAGCUUUUCUUGGAAACACCUAAUCCCAGCUCCCUCAAACUGAAUUAGCAAGGAAACAUCUGGGCAAUGUAGUUGAUGGGAUUGGAUUUUAGCCACAGUGUUGCUAGCUGGGAAGAACCAUCCUGUUGUCGUAGGAGGGACACUGCUCUAGAACAGUUCUAGGUCAGAGAAGGCCUAUGCCACUUUGCCCCAUGACCCUUUUUGGGAAGACGUAAACAAACAUCUGUUUGCCCAUGAUAGACCAAAGAAACUAUUCCACCCAAGGCUUAUCUAGAAAGCAAAUGAGGGAGCUUGCAGCUCAGUUCCAGCUUGGUUCCCCAUGUUUUACAGCCUUCGUGUGGUAUCUUCAGCAGUAGAAACUUCCCAUUCAGCUCUAACAUGCAACUAAGGCAGUAGAAAUAGAUUUUAUGCCUUUGGGGCAGCAGGGAGCUCCUUGACUAGUAACUCAUAAGGAAGUAAACCAUUUUACGGAUCCCUGGAGUGUCUUUUCCAAUAAAUGUAGUGUGUCUUCAUUCAAACUCUUU